CCUACGGGAGGCAGCAGUGGGGAAUAUUGGACAAUGGGCGAAAGCCUGAUCCAGCCAUGCCGCGUGUGUGAAGAAGGCCUUCGGGUUGUAAAGCACUUUCAGUGGGGAAGAAAGCCUUGGGGCUAAUACCCUCGAGGAAGGACAUCACCCACAGAAGAAGCACCGGCUAACUCCGUGCCAGCAGCCGCGGUAAUACGGAGGGUGCGAGCGUUAAUCGGAAUUACUGGGCGUAAAGCGCGCGUAGGCGGUCUGAUAAGCCGGUUGUGAAAGCCCCGGGCUCAACCUGGGAACGGCAUCCGGAACUGUCAGGCUAGAGUGCAGGAGAGGAAGGUAGAAUUCCCGGUGUAGCAGUGAAAUGCGUAGAGAUCGGGAGGAAUACCAGUGGCGAAGGCGGCCUUCUGGACUGACACUGACGCUGAGGUGCGAAAGCGUGGGUAGCGAACAGGAUUAGAUACCCCUGUAGUC
rnacentral:rRNA from 1 species